ensembl:snRNA U2 U2 spliceosomal RNA
AUCACUUCUUGGCCUUUUGGCUAAGAUCAAGUGUAGUAUCUGUUCUUAUCAGUUUAAUAUCUGAUACGUCCUCUAUCUGAGCACAAUAAGUAUUAAUGGGCUUCCUUGGUGGCUCAGACGGUAAAGCGUCUGCCUGCAAUGUGGGAGACCUGGGUUUGAUUCCUGGGUCGGGAAGAUCCCCUGGAGAAGGAAAUGGCAA